GAUGAAGAACGUAGCGAAAUGCGAUAAGUAAUGUGAAUUGCAGAAUUCAGUGAAUCAUCGAGUUUUUGAACGCAUAUUGCGCCCUCUGGUAUUCCGGGGGGCAUGCCUGUUCGAGCGUCAUUAAAUAACCCUCAAGCAUAGCUUGGUGUUGGGCUUUUUUACGUCCUUGACUGGGAUGGGCCUAAAAAUUAGUGGCGAUGGCUUUUUUACUUUCAAGCGUAGUAAAUCUCAUCUUGCUAAAGAGGAAAAAGAUUUUUUUUCUGCCAAAAAUUUUAACAUUUAAAGUUGACCUCGGAUCAGGUAGGAUUACCCGCUGAACUUAAGCAUAUCAAUAAGCGGAGGA
rnacentral:misc_RNA from 1 species